rnacentral:rRNA from 1 species
UACGUAGGGUCCGAGCGUUGUCCGGAAUUAUUGGGCGUAAAGAGCUCGUAGGCGGUUCGUCACGUCGGCUGUGAAAUCCCGAGGCUCAACCUCGGGUCUGCAGUCGAUACGGGCGGACUUGAGUACUGCAGGGGAGACUGGAAUUCCUGGUGUAGCGGUGAAAUGCGCAGAUAUCAGGAGGAACACCGGUGGCGAAGGCGGGUCUCUGGGCAGUAACUGACGCUGAGGAGCGAAAGCGUGGGGAGCGAACAGG